rnacentral:tRNA from 1 species
CUAAUUUUAGUUUAAUGAGAAUAAGGGUCUUGGGGUCCCUAGGUCUUUGUUUAUAAGAAGUUUGA